CUGGCGGUGCGCAGAACUCUGGCCGAUCCACCCGUGCUCAGCGACAGCAGCCCAGAAGGUGGUGGUGGUAGGCGGGUACGGGCGGGGUGAAGGGGCUGAAGAUGUAUUCGUCUCGGGUGGUAGGCCCAGGCUGGGGGGAUGCGGCACGACACGAGCUCACAGUUGCAGUAGCGGAUCGGAGGGCGGCGGCAGCGGCGGCGGCGGUGUGCGCUUGUUCCAGUUUCUUCUACCGACUUCAGCUCUGGAAGGAGAAGUGUAGGCUCAGACAGUUACUCCCCGUGGGACUGUUCGAGACGCUGGUCUAUAGACUACGACACGAUCUACGUACGGACCGACUUCUGGGACUGUCGUUCCAACGAACGCUCUGUACGUGGUUCUGGUUGUACCAGUACCAAAAGCCACUCUAGUGAUGGUUUCGGUUACAACUGAUACUCUUCUAACAGUCCCUAUGAACGGCACCGUAGCCAAAACACAGGUUACUACAUCCCGAACUACGACUGGUGACGUUCCAUGAACAGUUGUAACUCGUCGUCAGGGGACUGUAGCGCGUCCCACAGGUACCGGUGAAAUGGUUCGCCGGACUCCUCUAACCGCGACCACUGGUCCCGGUAUACAAACCUAUACGUUGACUACUCUGAGGACUCAAGUACGGGGAGUCGGUACAAGAACGAUGGUUCGAACCACGAGCAGAGUGGCUCCAGGCGUUCUUGCGGUGGACGGGCACCAACUCCGGACUACCGUUCUGGGUCCACUGACAACUCAUAGUGUUACUGUUACCACGAUACCAGGGAUAUGCACAGGUGUGACACGAGUAGAGGUGGGUCGUACUACUCUGUCACUGGUUACUACUCUAACGACGACUAGACUUCCUCGUACACUAAUUCGGACAAUAGGGUCUCGUCAUAGAACUACUCUUAUGCUAGAAGGUAGAGUUGGGUAGACCGGCGAAACAGUAACCACCUGGAGUGCCGCUACGACCAGAGUGACCGUCCUUCUAGUAGUAACUGUGGAUACCACCGACCCCUCGAGUACCACCUCCACGAAAGAGACCGUUCCUGGGCUGGUUCCAACUGGCGUCACCACGUAUACAACGUUCCGUCCGCCGCUUCUCGUAGCACCGGUCGCCGUAGCGGGCAGCGACGUAGCAGGUCCACAGAAUACGAUAACCGCACGGACUUGGCGAAAGCCACAAACAGACUGUGUAUGCCGUGACCGUUCUAGGGACUAUUCCUCUAGGAACUCUAACAGUUCCUCUUGAAACUGAAGUCCGGUCCGUACUAGUAGUAGUUGGAACUGGAGUUCUCCCCCCCCUUCCCCGCGAUAGAGUUCUGCCGCCGUAUGCCCGUGAAGCCGUCCCUCCCGCGCCUGAAGUGGACCCUCCACCACUUCGGGGAGUUCACCCUCUUCGGAAGACGGACUCGUUUGUGACUCGCUUCAGAGACUUAUUUAAAUCCAAAUGGAUAGCGUCGUUCAUUAUAGAGAUAAGUGACGAGGUCUCGACGUUGCCACGUUCAAAAAAAAAAAGUCACAAACACAAAUCUCCACGAACAUAACACCCACACGAUGAACACAAGAAUAGACGAGUACAGUACCAUUACCACCGCUGUUCUAACUUUGACAAUUUCUUAUACUGAAAGGAGAGAAACGAUCGGUAGAACACAAC
rnacentral:rRNA from 1 species